rnacentral:misc_RNA from 1 species
GGACAAAGUUUACCAAAUG